rnacentral:tRNA from 1 species
CCCGGUGUAGCUCAAUUUGGUAGAGCGUUGGACUGUAGAUCCAAUGGUUGCUGGUUCAAAUCCGGUCGCCGGGA